UCCGCUACAACGACGCCUGCCUUUCUCGCAGGCGCAGUAGUUCUCUCGGGGGAUGAGUUGCUCGUGAUCCCUUCCGCUCGCUCGAGUUCUUAGGGUGGUUGCUGAGGCAGCAGCCCAAAGAAUAUGGCGGCCAGAAGGAGGAAGUCCGGAGGUUUGCCGAGCGUUGUGGUGCCCUCAUAUAACUGUGCAAGCGGAGCAGGUCUGGGAGCUCUAAAACCGCCUCGGGCCGUCCUUCUUUCGAUCUAAGUCUUUCGAGCAGGAGGUGCGAUCUGACCACCGAAUAGCGGGAGCUUAUUGAGUAAGUCGGGUUCUAGCCAAGCAAGGCGUUGCAACACCUGAUCACUGAGAGCCCGGCUUAGGUCAUCUUCAAGAUGGUGUAUGAAGCCCUUCAAGUAUCAUGGAGAAUAAAGAAAGCAGCCAUUCAAAUGAGACUUACCACUCAUGUCCAAGAUAAGCCAAGAAAGGGAGAAGUUAACUUGUGCAUAGGAGUCUUACUGAAGCCAAAAGUCCAGCAGUCAUGCUGAAAAAUAUGACACCAAAGAAAGCUGCCACGCAAAUGACAAAGUCAAACUUGUCCACCUCGAGAAGGCGGUGAGCUUCUUCAAACUUAAUGAGCCCAAUCAUGGCAACGAUGAUGAUUGCUGAUAGGGCUACUAGAGGAGUGUAUUUGAAGAGAGGUGCCAAGAACAACAGCACCACCAUGAUGCACAUUGACAUGACCACAUUUGACAUUGCCGUCUUGCAUCCAGCAUGGAAGUUAACUGCUGACCUGGAAAAAGGACCUGUAAUAUAACGUUGCAUUAUUCAUCAAAAAUUUAUUUGAAAAACCAUUAUUAAUCUAACAUAUCUCUUGUUUGUUCAGACUGUAAAGUGUUCUGAUUACAAAAAAAAUUCCAAGGACAGAUUUGCUUGGUAAAUAUUGUAUGCAUCUUAAGAUAUUUAUUCUAUAAAAACUCCUGUGUGUUUUGAAGU